AUGUCUUCACCUUAUACUGAUUGAUGGAAAUCCCCAAUUAAAUUUGUUAUAAACGAUAACUUGAAAGGUAACGCACAAAAUCCCUAUAAAGUGGAUAUUAGCAAAGGUAACGCAUGAACUCCUCACCACCCCGGCGUAGAUGGAGCGCAACAGCUCUGCUGGUGGCCUCGCUGCGGUGGCCGUACGCAGAGGCUUAAGCCGCGGCGGCGUUGGCUGAAAUCGAAGGGACGGUUACUGUUGCAGUGCAGAGUAAGAGAGUGUUCGAGCAUAUCUGCCGAUGGAGUAGGCGGUGCAACGAUGAUCUGAAGCCGGAGGAGGCAACGCAACGUCUGUCGCGACGACGAUCUGGAGCCGGAGGAGGCAGCGCAACGGUGAUAGAGAGAGAGAGAGAGAGAGAGAGAGGGAGGGAGGGAGAACAUCACGCCUGAGAAAGAUUGAGA
rnacentral:lncRNA from 1 species